CGCUUAACCGACUGCGCCACCCAGGCGCCCCUUCAUUUUGUUUUAAGGCAGCUUGCGUGAGCGUCACACGUGCACCCAUCCUGACGACAGGGUACAUACAUGCUCUUGUCUCCAGUGCUGCUGUUCUUUUUGUCCCCAGCACGAAUAAGAUGCUCCAGUGAGCCAGAGGCAGGAACAAGUGUUUCACUUUUCAUAGCUGGGAGCUGGGAGAAAUCACCAGCCGACGAUUUAUUUUAACCCAGAAAGUAAAAAAGUAUAUGUUUCUUUUUACUGCAGGUGCGCUAAACGGUAACAUGACAAACAGGAAUAUGUAUUGCCUGUCCUUCUGUCUUUUCGCGAUAGGGUGCUAACACAAUGAGGUGUGUUCUUUUUACUCUGCCACGGCCCAUUCAUUCGCUAGGAUUGACAACCUGGUGUGCGUUGAUCUUAACCAUAAAUCAGUUUCUGAUGGUGUCUUGGAUGUGCACUGUGCCUUGUAGACUCAAGCUAACGUUACUGCUUCUGUUGCACCCUCAUUGAAACGUCUGUGAAGAAGCACUAGCAGGUUAAGGAUCCCCAACUUUGGAAAAGGAACGUGAUGUGAAACUAGAAUUCUCUGUUAAAAAGGUAUGGUUACUUUUUAAAGAGGAGGCGGGACUCAGUCGGCGAAGCGUGCGACUCCUGAUCUCGUGGUUGCAAGUUCGAGCCCCACGUUGGGUGUAGAGAUUACUUUAAAAUAAAAAUAAAAAUCGGGGCGCGUGAGGGGCUCAGUCGGUUAAGCCUCUGACUUGGGCCCAGGUCAUGAUCUUACGGUUCUUCGUGAGUUCGAGCCCCGCAUAGGGCUCUGUGCUGACAGUUUAGAGCCUGGAGCCUCCUUGGGGUUGUUAUUAGCAAAAGAAAAGAAAGGAUUGCUGUAGGCCAGGACAUCUGCUUUGGAGGGGUGGGCAGUGCCGGUGUUUAUCAUGCAGGUUACAUGACCAGUGCUGAGGGAAACAUUUCAGGUUGACUGUUAGAAAGUCACAUUCCUGGGAGAGGUGGAAACUAAAUCUCGGCUUGCUGUCCUCGGUGGGGGGCAAGUGACUCCAGUUUGGGCUUUUUUUUAAAACAAUAAAUUACUUUAGUUGACUUGCUGAUGUUUCUCAGAUUAUAGUGUACCUUGCUAUGAUUUUUAAAAUUUUUUUUAAUGUUUAUUUAUUUGAGAGAGAGAGAGAGAGAGAGAGAGAGAGAGAGAGAGAGAGAAUAUGAGCGGGGGACGGGCAGAGAGAAAGGGACCCACGGAAUCCGAAGCAGGCUUCAGGCUCUGAGCUAUCAGCACAGAGCCUGACGUGGGACGCGAACUCACCAACCACGAGAUCAUGACCUGAGCCGAAGUCGGACGCUCAACCGACCGAGCCACCCAGGCACCCCUAUCUUGCUCUGAUUAUACCAAAGUUAGUUGAUGCCUGCUCUCUUAAUUUGUCUUCUGUUCUUUAGCCUUGUGGAAUUUUGCAAAUUACAGAAGUAGUACAUGCCUGUCAGAAGCUGGGACAAACAGUACAGAAGUGUAUUAAAGAGAGUUAGGCGCCCCCUGCACAUGCUUCGAGGCGCUCAGGGGUAAGAGCUUGGCAGGCAUCUGUGCACCUUUCCUUGCAUUUUUUUUUUUUUUCACGCUCAGAUACUCCUUUAUGUGGGUUUCCCCCUCCCUUUGUUCCCUCCUUCUGUUAAAAAUGGAGUCACUUACGUUAAACCCCACCAAAACUUAGUACCCAGGCUAAUUGCAGCUUCCCAGCUUCUCCCAGAAAUGUGGUCCUUAACCAACCUGGGACUUUUCUGCUGGACCCUCCCAUUCCCCUUAGGGGGGUGACCUUGCCUAAAACAAUGCAUUCUUUGCUAAGAAUACCGGCCCACCCACCCCCACCUUUGAAACCCUCGGCUGCAGCUCAGUGGAGCUCCUUACUAUCUGCUAGAUGGAGUGCUGGCAAUUUGAUCUUUACAUUUACUCCGUUGAAUUUUUUUCUUUUCUUUUUUCUUUUUUUCUCGUUUUUAAGUAUUUAUUAUCGAGAGACAGAGCACGAGCAGGGGAGGGGCAGAGAGAGAGGAGAGAGCGAGAAUCCCAAGCCGGCUCCUCACCGCCAGCACAGAGCCGGACACGGGGUUCAAACUCAUGAACUGGGAGAUCAUGACCUGAGCCACCCAGGCGCCCCAUGCCAGCCUUUCUUUUAAACAAAAGCGAGAUAAUUCCUCUGGAGAGACAUCCAAAAAGCUAUUCAACAGGUUCCCUCAAGGAAGGGAAACGUGAAACUUGGGAACAGAGGUGCAAGGGAGAUUGAGUUUUGACUGUGCCCUUUUGUGUUGUAGGGGCCAAGGCCGACUGCCCCCAAGAUGUGCCACUUUGGUCACGCAGAUCAUGCCGAGCUGAAAACAAUCCAGGCCCAGAAGACGCAGGGAGAAAUUUUGACCUUGCCCCCAAAACUGCCUCAAAGAAAUGAGAUUGGGGACGUGCUCCGGGAAGGGAGCCAUUGCCAUACUUACCUACAUUAUAAUGUGAAGUAGGUAUGGUGGAGAGCGAGGAAUUCAGCAAAGUUCGGUUGAUCAAAAUCUUCCCUGUGUCCCAUUGUUUCUGGAUGACCCAGUCAACAUUUAUUUACCACGUUCGCUCUUUUUCAUUCUUCCUGUGAGCAUUCCUUCCCUUUGUAGUCUCAGACUCCUUCCUCCUCCUUAGUUCAGGGUGACUUCGCACUGCCUGGCUGUCUUUGGAAUCUUACGCGUGUGUGGAUUCCCUAUGCCCCUGAAAUUAAAUUUGAUUUUCUC
rnacentral:lncRNA from 1 species